UACGUAGGGUGCGAGCGUUGUCCGGAAUUACUGGGCGUAAAGAGCUCGUAGGCGGUUUGUCGCGUCUGCUGUGAAAACCCGAGGCUCAACCUCGGGCCUGCAGUGGGUACGGGCAGACUAGAGGUAGGUAGGGGGAGAACGGAAUUCCUGGUGUAGCGGUGAAAUGCGCAGAUAUCAGGAGGAACACCGGUGGCGAAGGCGGGUCUCUGGGCCGAUACUGACGCUGAGGAGCGAAAGCGUGGGGGAGCGAACAGG
rnacentral:rRNA from 1 species